rnacentral:rRNA from 13 species
AAGGAUGAAACCUUCCUGAGCGACUCGUAAG